UACGUAGGGGGCCAGCGUUGCUCGGAAUUACUGGGCGUAAAGGGUUCGUAGGCGGUGCGGCAAGUUGGGAGUGAAAUCUCUGGGCUUAACCCAGAGGCUGCUUUCAAAACUGCCGUGCUCGAGUGCGAGAGAGGUCAGUGGAAUUGCAGGUGUAGCGGUGAAAUGCGUAGAUAUCUGCAGGAACACCCGUGGCGAAGGCGGCUGACUGGAUCGCAACUGACGCUGAGGAACGAAAGCUAGGGGAGCAAACAGG
rnacentral:rRNA from 2 species